GACGUAGGGAGCGAGCGUUGUCCGGAUUCAUUGGGCGUAAAGAGCGCGCAGGCGGCUUGGUAAGUCGGAUGUGAAAACCCGGAGCUCAACUCCGGGCGUGCAUCCGAUACUGCCCGGCUAGAGGUAGGUAGGGGAGAUCGGAAUUCCUGGUGUAGCGGUGGAAUGCGUAGAUAUCGGGAGGAACACCAGUGGCGAAGGCGACUACCUGGCCUGUUUCUUGACGCUGAGGCGCGAAAGCUAGGGGAGCAAACGGG
rnacentral:rRNA from 1 species